UGGGGAAUAUUGCACAAUGGGCGCAAGCCUGAUGCAGCCAUGCCGCGUGUGUGAAGAAGGCCUUCGGGUUGUAAGGCACUUUCAGCGGGGAGGAAGGCGAUAAGGUUAAUAACCUUGUCGAUUGACGUUACCCGCAGAAGAAGCACCGGCUAACUCCGUGCCAGCAGCCGCGGUAAUACGGAGGGUGCAAGCGUUAAUCGGAAUUACGGGGUGUAAAGCGCACGCAGGCGGUCUGUCAAGUCGGAUGUGAAAUCCCCGGGCUCAACCUGGUAACUGCAUUCGAAACUGGCAGGCUAGAGUCUUGUAGAGGGGGGUAGAAUUCCAUGUGUAGCGGUGAAAUGCGUAGAGAUCUAGAGGAAUACCGGUAGCGAAGGCGGCCCCCUGAACAAAGACAGACGCUCAGGUGCGAAAGCGUGAGGAGCAAACAGG
rnacentral:rRNA from 1 species